AUUGAACGCUGGCGGCAGGCCUAACACAUGCAAGUCGAGCGGAUGAGUGGAGCUUGCUCCAUGAUUCAGCGGCGGACGGGUGAGUAAUGCCUAGGAAUCUGCCUGGUAGUGGGGGACAACGUUUCGAAAGGAACGCUAAUACCGCAUACGUCCUACGGGAGAAAGCAGGGGACCUUCGGGCCUUGCGUUAUCAGAUGAGCCUAGGUCGGAUUAGCUAGUAGGUGAGGUAAUGGCUCACCUAGGCGACGAUCCGUAACUGGUCUGAGAGGAUGAUCAGUCACACUGGAACUGAGACACGGUCCAGACUCCUACGGGAGGCAGCAGUGGGGAAUAUUGGACAAUGGGCGAAAGCCUGAUCCAGCCAUGCCCGCGUGUGUGAAG
rnacentral:rRNA from 1 species